GAGUUUGAUCCUGGCUCAGGAUGAACGCUGGCGGCGUGCUUAACACAUGCAAGUCGAACGGGGGAUGUACGGUGAAGAGAUUUCGGUCAAAUCAUGUGCAUCUUUAGUGGCGGACGGGUGAGUAACGCGUGGGUAACCUGCCUUACACAGGGGGAUAACACUUAGAAAUAGGUGCUAAUACCGCAUGAGCGCACAGGACCGCAUGGUCGAGUGUGAAAAACUGAGGUGGUGUAAGAUGGACCCGCGUCUGAUUAGCUAGUUGGUGAGGUAACGGCCCACCAAGGCGACGAUCAGUAGCCGGCCUGAGAGGGUGAACGGCCACAUUGGGACUGAGACACGGCCCAAACUCCUACGGGAGGCAGCAGUGGGGGAUAUUGGACAAUGGGGGGAACCCUGAUCCAGCGACGCCGCGUGAGUGAAGAAGUAUCUCGGUAUGUAAAGCUCUAUCAGCAGGGAAGAAGAAAUGACGGUACCUGAGUAAGAAGCCCCGGCUAACUACGUGCCAGCAGCCGCGGUAAUACGUAGGGGGCAAGCGUUAUCCGGAAUUACUGGGUGUAAAGGGAGCGUAGACGGUGAUGUAAGUCUGGAGUGAAAGGCGGGGGCCCAACCCCCGGACUGCUCUGGAAACUAUGUGACUGGAGUGCAGGAGAGGUGAGCGGAAUUCCUAGUGUAGCGGUGAAAUGC
rnacentral:rRNA from 1 species